rnacentral:rRNA from 1 species
AACGAACGCUGGCGGCAGGCCUAACACAUGCAAGUCGAACGGGGUAGCAAUACUCUAGUGGCAGACGGGUGAGUAACACGUGGGAACCUUCCUUUUAGUAUGGAAUAGCCCGGCGAAAGCCGGAUUAAUACCAUAUACGCCCUAUGGGGGAAAGAUUUAUCGCUAAAAGAUGGGCCCGCGUAAGAUUAGCUAGUUGGUGAGGUAAUGGCUCACCAAGGCUACGAUCUUUAGCUGGUUUGAGAGAAUGAUCAGCCACACUGGAACUGAGACACGGUCCAGACUCCUACGGGAGGCAGCAGUGGGGAAUAUUGGACAAUGGGCGCAAGCCUGAUCCAGCCAUGCCGNGUGAAUGA